UACGAAGGGUGCAAGCGUUGUUCGGAAUUAUUGGGCAUAAAGAGCACGUAGGUGGGCUUGUAAGUCUUCUGUGAAAGCCCUGGGCUUAACCUGGGAAUUGCAGUUGAAACUACAAGUCUUGAAUACUGGAGGGGAUGGCGGAAUUCCUGGUGUAGAAGUGAAAUUCAUAGAUAUCAGGAGGAACACCAGAGGCGAAAGCGGCCGUCUGGCCAAGUAUUGACACUGAGGUGCGAAAGCGUGGGGAGCAAACAGG
rnacentral:rRNA from 1 species